rnacentral:tRNA from 1 species
GGGGCCGUGGCUCCGUGAUAAGAGCAUCGGCCUUGUAUGUCAAAGGUCCCGUGUUCAAUCCCUGUGCGAUCCACU